AUGCUUGCUUCAGCAGCACAUGAACUAAAAUUGGAACAAUAUAGAGUAAUUAGCAUGACCCCUGCACAAGUAUGAUAUACAAAUUUGUGAAGUAUUCCAUAUUUUU
rnacentral:snRNA from 1 species